UUUAUACAGAACAUGUACAAAGAUGCUAGCUAUUGAAAAAAAACCAACAUAACAAAUGUAAAGAAUAAUAAAUAGAUUGACUUACAUUUAUUGCAUAUGAAUAAAUUAAUUCCUUCUUUAUGGCGUGGUAAAGAAGUUUAUCUUCACUGUUGUCACAUCUACAGUAUACAUCUAUACAUUCUGAUUUGCUGCCCUCUAGUGGCAUUGAGUGAACCAGUGUGCCUGACAAAAUUCUCUCCCUCUUCCAGGAUUUUACAAAAUAAUAAGUUUUUGCUUUUGCUGGUGUUUCAUUUGUUCCUAUUAGAUUGCUCACAUAAUCUUUACUUUGGACUUCUGAGAUAAUGGGUCAAUUCUUUGCGUGUAUUAAUUUCAAUUUUCCAUACUGGAUACCCUAGUUAAGAAAAAAAGAAAGAAUUAUAAGGAAGGUUAAGGUACACUUUGCUAGCCUCCCUUUGUCCUGUUAGUAGUAUACCUUUCUUUCAGUGCCAGGUGACACCUAACCCACAGUUCCUUUUAAAGUCUGUUUUGAUAAAGGAUUACAGAAUUGCUUCCACAUAAAGGAAUAAAAAGGUAUUCCUUUGACAUCCAUCUUACUGCCUCGAAGCUUUCCUGUUGUAACCUCUAUGAAAAUUCUUUCAUUUUCACCUUUUUGAAUGUGACACCUGCUGUUCCAAAUAUUUUAAAAAACUAAGGUAGUGUAACACACAAAUUAAAAAAAAGCAUAUUCUGUAUGCUGAUGUAACACCAAACAGAGCCUCAGUUGACGUCUUUAUAUUUGUACAUAGCACUGACUGACUCAUAGCUGCACUUGAGUAGACCCUGUUCUAAAGUGUUUCCCACUGUUCUCUCUACAGAUGAAGAUGAAGAAUUUGAGGAAGAAGAGGAUGAGGAAGACAAUGAAGGGGAAAAGGCAGAGGAUGGCCAAGCUGAUGAGACAUCUUGAAGCCAUACUCAAAGUAUCCUAGGCCUACUGCCAACUCAACUACAAGAAAAGGGUGCAUGAUUAGGUGGAUUCACCACGACUUGUGAAGCCCAGUGGCGCUUGAUGAAGAAAGAAAAAUGGAGGUCAUCAAAUAAGUUGGUGUUUUACUGUCACUGAUCAGCGCAGCAAAGCUGGCUGAUCAGACGUGAAAGAGAAGAGAAGCAAUGUGACCACGUACGACUGAUGCUGGUCAUCUUCUUAACAAGAGACUGUAAAGCUACGAUUUAUUUGUUUUCCUCUCGGAGUGGAAAAUUCACUGCAAUUUCCAGACAACGGACUCUUUUUAUACAAGGUGCAAAAUGAACCGUUUUGUACAUUUUAUAUAUUAUUUUUGUACUGGAUAUCUUUGGAACAACAUGUUUUGUAAUGUAAUGAAAUAAAUGAAUCAUUUGCAGGCUGUAUCUGAGCCAAAAUGGACUUACGUGAUAGAGCCUGUUUAGUUACUGUAUUGCUACGGCUUGUGUCAUUGCACUGUGGCGAGUAGAUUUAAGGACACAAUUUCCCUGCAGUGUUCCCACAGAGAAUGCAUGCUGAUUUUUUAUUAUUAUGAUGAUGAUGAUGAUGAUUCUUAUUAUUUUUCCAGAUUGUUCAGAUUUGUAAAAUAAUCAGGGAUAAAUGUAAUGACUUGAAUUAAAGAUGUAUUCAGGUUUCACUUUAUUUUUUCUGUAAUACUGAAAUUGUAUUUAUUGUGUAGAGAGGUAAAUAAAUAAUGGCAUACAA